rnacentral:pre_miRNA from 1 species
UCUUCAUUCAUCGUACUCUCUCACCGGUCAGAGAGACGAGAGAACACGCGAAAUGAAGAGA